CAGUCGCCGCGGUAAUACGAAGGGGGCUAGCGUUGUUCGGAAUUACUGGGCGUAAAGCGCACGUAGGCGGAUAUUUAAGUCAGGUGUGAAAUCCCGCAGCUCAACUGCGGAACUGCCUUUGAUACUGGGUAUCUUGAGUAUGGAAGAGGUUAGUGGAAUUGCGAGUGUAGAGGUGAAAUUCGUAGAUAUUCGCAGGAACACCAGUGGCGAAGGCGGCUAACUGGUCCAUAACUGACGCUGAGGUGCGAAAGCGUGGGGAGCAAACAGGAUUAGAUACCCCCGUAGUCCCUGUCUCUUAUAC
rnacentral:rRNA from 1 species